rnacentral:rRNA from 1 species
UACGUAGGGUGCGAGCGUUGUCCGGAAUUAUUGGGCGUAAAGAGCUUGUAGGCGGUUUGUCGCGUCUGCUGUGAAAUUUCGGGGCUCAACCCCGAACUUGCAGUGGGUACGGGCAGACUAGAGUGUGGUAGGGGAGACUGGAAUUCCUGGUGUAGCGGUGAAAUGCGCAGAUAUCAGGAGGAACACCGAUGGCGAAGGCAGGUCUCUGGGCCACUACUGACGCUGAGAGCGAAAGCGUGGGAGCGAACAGG